GAUGAACGCUGGCGGCGUGCCUAAUACAUGCAAGUCGAGCGAACGGACGAGAAGCUUGCUUCUCUGAUGUUAGCGGCGGACGGGUGAGUAACACGUGGAUAACCUACCUAUAAGACUAGGAUAACUUCGGGAAACCGGAGCUAAUACCGGAUGAUAUUUUGAACCGCAUGGUUCAAAAGUGAAAGACGGUCUUGCUGUCACUUAUAGAGGGAUCCGCGCUGCAUUAGCUAGUUGGUAAGGUAACGGCUUACCAAGGCAACGAUGCAUAGCCGACCUGAGAGGGUGAUCGGCCACCCUGGAACUGAGACACGGUCCAGACUCCUACGGGAGGCAGCAGUAGGGAAUCUUCCGCAAUGGGCGAAAGCCUGACGGAGCAACGCCGCGUGAGUGAUGAAGGUCUUCGGAUCGUAAAACUCUGUUAUUAGGGAAGAACAGAUGUGUAAGUAACUGUGCACAUCUUGACGGUACCUAAUCAGAAAGCCACGGCUAACUACGUG
rnacentral:rRNA from 1 species